UAGGACGUCCCCUUCGGGGGCAGAGUGACAGGUGGUGCAUGGUUGUCGUCAGCUCGUGUCGUGAGAUGUGGGGUUAAGUCCCGCAACGAGCGCAACCCUUGAUCUUAGUUGCCAGCAUUCAGUUGGGCACUCUAAGGUGACUGCCGGUGACAAACCGGAGGAAGGUGGGGAUGACGUCAAAUCAUCAUGCCCCUUAUGACCUGGGCUACACACGUGCUACAAUGGACAGAACAAAGGGCAGCGAAACCGCGAGGUUAAGCCAAUCCCACAAAUCUGUUCUCAGUUCGGAUCGCAGUCUGCAACUCGACUGCGUGAAGCUGGAAUCGCUAGUAAUCGCGGAUCAGCAUGCCGCGGUGAAUACGUUCCCGGGCCUUGUACACACCGCCCGUCACACCACGAGAGUUUGUAACACCCGAAGUCGGUGAGGUAACCUUUUAGGAGCCAGCCGCCGAAGUGGACAGAAUUG
rnacentral:rRNA from 2 species